rnacentral:lncRNA from 1 species
GAGCUCACCUGGGGAGCCCGGAACAGCCCCAAAACAGCCCCAAACAGCCCAAAACACCCCAAAAACAGCCCGAAACAGCCCCAAAACAGCCCCGAAACAGCCCCGAAACAGCCCGAAACAGCCCGAAACAGCCACAAAACAGCCCAAAAACACCCCAAAAACAGCCCAAAACAGCCCCGAAACACCCCAAAACCAGCCCAAAACACCCCAAAAACAGCCCAAAACAGCCCGAAACAGCCCCAAAACAGCCCGAAACAGCCCAAAACAGCCCGAAACAGCCCCAAAACAGCCCAAAAACCACCUGGGGAACCCCAAAACAGCCCCAAAACACCCCAAAAAUAGUCCCAAACACCCCAAAACAGCCCCAAAACACCCCAAAACAGCCCAAAACAGCCCAAAACACCCCAAAACAGCCCCAAAACAGCCUGAAACACCCCAAAAACACCCGGGGAACCCCAAAGUGUCCCCGGACGAAUUCCCGGCUCCCCAGCCCCAGGGGUUUUUGGGGUCCCUUUUGGGGUUUUUGGGUCCCUUUUGGGGGUUUUUGGGGUCCUUUUCAAGUUUUUGGGGUCCCUUUCAGGAUAUUGGGGUCCAUUUUGGGGUUUUUUGGGUCCAUUUGGGGUUUUUGGGUUCCCCCCAGGAUUUUGUGAUCCCUUUUUGGGGUUUUUGGGUCCCAUUUUUGGGGUUUUUGGGGUCCCUUCUGGGGUUUUGGGGUCCAUUUUUGGGUUUUUCGGGGUCCCUUUCACGUUUCCGGGGUCCCUUUUGGGGUUUUGGGGGUUUUUGGGUCCCGUUUUUGGGGUUUUUGGGGUCCAUUUUUGGGUUUUUCGGGGUCCCUUUCACGUUUCCGGGNNNNNNNNNNNNNNNNNNNNCCAAAACAGCCCGAAACCACCUGGGCAACCCGGAACAGCCCCAAAACAGCCCCAAAACAGCCAAAAACAGCCCGAAACACCCCAAAACAGCCUGAAACAGCCCAAAAACAGCCCCAAAACAGCCCCGAAACAGCCCAAAACAGCCCGAAACAGCCCCAAACACACCCAAAAACACCCCCAAAACAGCCCAAAAACACCUGGGCAACCCGGAACAGCCCCAAAACAGCCCCAAACACACCCAAAAACAGCCCCAAAACAGCCUGAAACAGCCCAAAAACAGCCCCAAAACAGCCCCAAACAGCCAAAAACACCCCCAAAACAGCCCAAAACACCCCAAAAACACCCGGGGAACCCCGAAGUGUCCCCAGAUGAACUCCCGGCUCCCCAGCCCCAGGGGUUUGGGGUCCCUUUUGGGGUUUUUGGGGUCCAUUUUUGGGGUUUUGGGGGUUUUUGGGUUCCUUUUUGGGGUGUUUGGGGUCCCUUUUGUGGAUUUUUUGGGUCCAUUUGGGGUUUUUGGGGUCCCUUUCGGGGUUUUUGGGUCCAUUUUUGGGUUUUUGAGGUCCCUUUCACAUUUCCGGGGUCCCUUUUGGGGUUUUUGGGGUCCAUUUCAGGGAUUUUUUGGGUCCAUUUUUGGGGUUUUUGGGUUCCUUUUGGGGUUUUUGGGGUCCCUUUUUGGGGUUUUUGGGGUCCCUUUUGGGGGUUUUUGGGGUCCCUUCUGGGGAUUUUGGGGUCCAUUUUUGGGUUUCUCGGCGUCCCUUUCACGUUUCCGGGGUCCCUUUUGGGGUUUUGGGGGUUUUUGGGGUCCAUUUUUGGGUUUUUUGGGGUUCCUUUCACGUUUCCGGGGUCCCUUUUGGGGUGCCGGACCCGUAGAAGUGUCCCCGGACGAACUCCUGGACGCGGGCCUUGCUCUGGGCGUGAAGGUUCUGGAACUCGUGCAUGGCCGAGAACUUGCGCACGUUCAGCCCGUUGGGGGUCACCAGGUCUGGGGGGGUCCCGGGGGGGUCAGGGGACCCCAAAAUCCCCCCAGACACCCCCAAAAACCACCCCAGACACCCCAAAAACCCCCCAGACACCCCAAAAACCACCCCAGACACCCCAAAACCCCCCCAGACACCCCAAAACCCCCCGGACACACCUGAGGAAGCUCCAGGCCAGGCAGGGCGCCAGGCAGUGCAGCACGCAGGGCGGCAGGUUGAAGAUGGAGCACAGGCUGGGCUCCAGCGCCGUGGGGCCACCGCCGUUGAUCAUGAUCACCUUGUGCACCAGCUCCGGGUACUCGUGCGCCAGGAAGGUGCAGAAGGACACCCUGAGGGGACACGGGGACACGGGGACACCGUGACGGGGGGAAGGGGGGCACGGGAAGCCCCCCCCGGGCUGAGCCAGGCCUGGGAUGGAUGGGGAUCGGAGCGGGGUGGGUGGAGGUGGCCCUGUGCUGUGUCCCUGUCCCGUGUCCUGGUGUCCCUGUCCCGUGUCCUGGUGUUCCCAUGUCCCUGCUUGUGUCCUGGUGUCCCUGUCCCAUGUCCUGGUGUCCCACAUCCCUGUCCCAUGUCCCUGUGCCAGCCCUGGCACUGUCUCUUGGAGCACCCUGGGACAGCUGGAGGUGUCCCUGUCCCUGUCCCUGUCCCUGUCCCUGUCCCUGUCCCCAUCCCUGUCCCUGUCCCUGUCCCCUCCCUGUCCCUGUCCCUGUCCCUGUCCCUGUCCCUGUCCCUGUCCCUGUCCCCACAGAG